CGGUGUGAUUACAGACAGGACGUAAGUGAGUCAAUGUCAAUAUCUCCGUAUUACACCAUGAGGACUAUUGUCCCCCGUGUCUGACCG